UCUACUUGGCCUCCCCACUUCUCGCCCAGUGUCCCACAGCGUCCUCUUCAUCUCUACUGGUGACAUCACUUGAGGAAAAGCCCAGAGUUGCCUUCAGCACUGUGGGCCUGACAAAACAGAAGAUGGGGGACUUCCCUGGUGGCUCAGUGGUGAAGAAUCUACAUGCCAGUGCAGGAGACAUUGGUUCAAUCCCUGAUCCAGGAGGAUCCCAUGUGCUGCAGAGCAACUAAGCCCAUGUCCCACAACUACUGAGUGUGUGCUCUCGAGCCUGGGAGCCCGCAACUACUGAGCCCAGGUGCCCUAGAGCCCCUGCUCCACACUAGAGAAGACACAACCAAAGAGUAGCCUCCACGCUCAGCAACUAGAGAAAAAGCCAUACAGCAAUGAAGACUCGGUGCUGUAAAAAAUAAAUCCUUUUUUUUUUUUUAAAAAGAAGACGGGGACCCAGUCCUGAGCAGGGGGCACUCGUCUCCCUGUGCUUGUCUGGGGAACCCUGGCUGAGCCGUACAGGGGUGCUGGUUUAGACCAGGUGCCUUGAGAAGGGUUCUGAAGGUGACCUCAUCUCAUCCUCGCUGUUCACUCCCGCUCCCAGAUAAAGAAACUGAAGCUCAAGAGAAGUCACAAACCAGAGUCAUGGACAAGCCAGGGUUUUGGAUCUGGGCUUGCCAGACCACGAAGCCCAAACCCUUCUACCUCUCAUGGCAUCUGUCCAGAGCGGAGCGCAGAGCAGACGGCUAGCCCAGGUGCCAGGAGGACAGCAUCUCUCCUCCAUCUGUACUUACAGUGCUGAUUCUGCCGGCAUCUCAUUAGUGAAAACAGACAUUCUGGCUCUCAGCCCCAUCGCUCCCAAGAACUCAGUCCAGGCGCAAAGCCUUUGGUCUAGGUGAGGAAGUAGAGGGUGGAGGGGAUGG
ensembl:lncRNA